rnacentral:rRNA from 1 species
GACGAACCCCUGUCUUGCUUGCCUUACACAUGCCAGUCGAACGGAAAGGCCUUUUCGGACGCACUCGAGUGGCGAACGAGUGACAAACACGUGAGUGAUCUGCCCUGCACUCUGGGACAUAGCCAGGGAAACUGGGUCUAAUACCGGAUCGGACUGCACUUUAGUGGGUGUGGAGGAAAGUUUUUUCAGAGUAAGAUGAGCCCCCGGCCUAUCAUCUUGGUGGUGGGGUAAUGGCCUACCAACGAGGCGACCGGUAGCCGGACUGAGAGGUUGGUCGGCCACAUUGAGACUGAGAUACGGCCCACACUCCUACGGGAGGCAGCAAAGGGGAAUAUUGCACAAUGGGCGCAAGCCUGAUGCACCGACGCCACGUGAGGGAUGACGGCCUUAGGGUUGUAAACUCCUUUCACCAGGGAUGAAGCGUUUUGCGACAAUACCUGGAGAAUAAGCACCGGCUAACUACGUGCCAGCAGCCACGGUAAUACUUACGGUGCUAGCGUUGUUCCGGAAUAACUGGGCGUAAAGAGCUCGUAGGUGGUUUGUCACGUCGUCUGUGAAAUUCCACAGCUUAACUGUGGGCGUGCAGGCGAUACGGGCUGACUUGAGUACUGUAGGGGUAACUGGAAUUCCUGGUGUAGCGGUGAAAUGCGCAGAUAUCAGGAGGAACACCGAUGGCGAAGGCAGGUUACUGGGCAGUUACUGACGCUGAGGAGCGAAAGCAUGGGUAGCAAACAGGAUUAGAUACCCUGGUAGUCCAUGCCGUAAACGGUGGGCGCUAGGUGUAGGGGCCUUUUGGGGUUUCUGUGCCGUAGCUAACGCAUUAAGCGCCCCGCCUGGGGAGUACGGCCGCAAGGCUAAAACUCAAAGGAAUUGACGGGGGCCCGCACAAGCGGCGGAGCAUGUGGAUUAAUUCGAUGCAACGCGAAGAACCUUACCUGGGCUUGACAUACACCAGAUCGCUGCAGAGAUGUAGUUUCCCUUGUGGCUGGUGUACAGGUGGUGCAUGGCUGUCGUCAGCUCGUGUCGUGAGAUGUUGGGUUAAGUCCCGCAACGAGCGCAACCCUUGUCUUAUGUUGCCAGCACGUUAUGGUGGGGACUCAUGAGAGACUGCCGGGGUUAACUCGGAGGAAGGUGGGGACGACGUCAAGUCAUCAUGCCCCUUAUGUCCAGGGCUUCACACAUGCUACAAUGGCCGGUACAAUGCGCAGCGAGCCUGUGAGGGUGAGCUAAUCGCUUAAAGCUGGUCUUAGUUCGGAUUGGGGUCUGCAACUCGACCCCAUGAAGUCGGAGUCGCUAGUAAUCGCAGAUCAGCAAUGCUGCGGUGAAUACGUUCCCGGGCCU